AUUGAACGCUGGCGGCAGGCUUAACACAUGCAAGUCGAGCGGGGAAGUAUAGCUUGCUAUACGACCUAGCGGCGGACGGGUGAGUAAUGCUUAGGAAUCUGCCUAUUAGUGGGGGACAACAUUCCGAAAGGAAUGCUAAUACCGCAUACGCCCUACGGGGGAAAGCAGGGGAUCUUCGGACCUUGCGCUAAUAGAUGAGCCUAAGUCAGAUUAGCUAGUUGGUGGGGUAAAGGCCUACCAAGGCGACGAUCUGUAGCGGGUCUGAGAGGAUGAUCCGCCACACUGGGACUGAGACACGGCCCAGACUCCUACGGGAGGCAGCAGUGGGGAAUAUUGGACAAUGGGCGCAAGCCUGAUCCAGCCAUGCCGCGUGUGUGAAGAAGGCCUUUUGGUUGUAAAGCACUUUAAGCGAGGAGGAGGCUACUUGGAUUAAUACUCUAGGAUAGUGGACGUUACUCGCAGAAUAAGCACCGGCUAACUCUGUG
rnacentral:rRNA from 1 species